CUCGGAAUCACUGGGCGUAAAGGGUGCGUAGGCGGGUCUUUAAGUCAGGGGUGAAAUCCUGGAGCUCAACUCCAGAACUGCCUUUGAUACUGAAGAUCUUGAGUUCGGGAGAGGUGAGUGGAACUGCGAGUGUAGAGGUGAAAUUCGUAGAUAUUCGCAAGAACACCAGUGGCGAAGGCGGCUCACUGGCCCGAUACUGACGCUGAGGCACGAAAGCGUGGGGAGCAAACAGG
rnacentral:rRNA from 1 species